UACGUAGGUGGCGAGCGUUGUCCGGAUUUACUGGGCGUAAAGGGCUCGUAGGCGGCCAACUAAGUCAGACGUGAAAUCCCCAGGCUCAACCUGGGAACUGCGUCUGAUACUGGAUGGCUUGAAUCCGGGAGAGGGAUGCAGAAUUCCAGGUGUAGCGGUGAAAUGCGUAGAUAUCUGGAGGAACACCGGUGGCGAAGGCGGCAGUCCUGGACCGGCAUUGACGCUGAGGCGCGAAAGCCAG
rnacentral:rRNA from 1 species